rnacentral:lncRNA from 1 species
AUUCUUAUCUAAGUUUGACACCUAUGUCAAGGAGAAUCUGAUUUAAAGCUUCCGAGGUAUUGUGAGGUAUCGCAGGGAACUCAAUGGAGAUCAGAGAUCCACCAAAUCCAGGGACAAGAGCAGGGGCAGCUAUUCUCUGUCUGGGUCCUGCUCUCUUACAGUCAUUCUUGCUGUGUCUUACUUUCUCUGGUAAAAUUUGGAUAAUUGACAGGGUAAUUGUCCUAAAGAACAGAGAUGAAAGGUUAAGAAUAAUUCCUAAGUCAUCCUGGCAACGACAGUCAAGUAGAUCAAGGCUCUCCAAGGCUUGGCUCACAAAUUCACUCUGAAGUUUGUUAUUGAAGAAGAGGUACAGAGAGCCCCAUUUUAUGUGAAGAGGAGAGAACUGAAUGUGAUUUAAUUUGAGAGGACAAUAGUACAGUUGAGCCUUCAACAACAUGGGUUUGACCUGUGCAGAUCCACUUAUAUGUCUAUUUUUACUACACAUUUCUUACUACAGAACCAUAAAUAUAUUUUCUCUUAUGAUUUUCUUAAUAAGUUUUUCUCUAGCUUAUUAUGGUAUGAAUACAGUAUAUAAGGUAUAGAAU